rnacentral:rRNA from 1 species
UACGGAGGGUGCAAGCGUUAUCCGGAUUCACUGGGUUUAAAGGGUGCGUAGGUGGGCAAGUAAGUCCGUGGUGAAAUCUCUGAGCUUAACUCGGAAACUGCCGUGGAUACUAUUAGUCUUGAAUCUCGUGGAGGUAAGCGGAAUAUGUCAUGUAGCGGUGAAAUGCUUAGAUAUGACAUAGAACACCGAUAGCGAAGGCAGCUUGCUACACGAGUAUUGACACUGAGGCACGAAAGCGUGGGGAUCAAACAGG